GAUGAAGAACGUAGCGAAAUGCGAUAAGUAGUGUGAAUAGCAGAAUUCAGUGAAUCAUCGAAUCUUUGAACGCACAUUGCGCCCCUUGGUAUCCCGAGGGGCAUGCCUGUUCGAGCGUCAUUUCACCACUCAAGCCUGGCUUGGUGUUGGGCGACGUCCCCUUUGGGGACGCGCCUCGAAACGCUCGGCGGCGUGGCACCGGCUUUAAGCGUAGCAGAAUCUUUCGCUUUGGAAGUCGGGGCCCCGUCUGCCGGAAGACCUACUCGCAAGGUUGACCUCGGAUCAGGCAGGGAUACCCGCUGAACUUAAGCAUAUCAAUAAGCGGAGGA
rnacentral:misc_RNA from 1 species